rnacentral:lncRNA from 1 species
AAGACCUUGACUAAUCAUGGGAGUAUAUGUAGGCCUCACUAGUUAUAGAGCGCCUAAGCCGAUUGAUGGAAAAUCAUCAUCAAUACAGUCAUCGAGUGCCUUAUCGAGACCAUGUCUUCCCAAGAUCUUUUUCUUCGGAUGUUGAUACAUAUUGGCAUCUCUUGAUCCAUCAAGAGUCCAUGUAAAUCCGGAAUGAACACGCAAAGGCAUAAUUCACCAUAUCCCUUCCAAAUCAAGUAGAGUCUAUGUGCGUUUCAAUACAUUUAGCAAACGCAUGCUCUUGUGGUUUGGAGCCACUUGAUUCGGAUGAAUGAAGUCCGUUUAAGAUCUUCAUGUAUAUCUCUGAUCCCAUAGAGAUGUUAUUAUGACCACAUUCAUAGGCUGCUUGUUCAGUUAUUCGGAAAUUACCAAACUGACAAAGUAGUGGAGUUCAAUGGCAUCCAUUACGAGAGCAUAUCUCAUCGUAGUUGAUCCUAGUGCGUGUUAGUGAGAGACCUUGCGCCAUAAGGUGAGUCUAAGCUCUUGUUCUCACUACGCUAUCUAACAAAGGUAUAGUUGAUAGGGUUUAGCUUGCGGUGUCGGCAUCACCUGCCCAAGGACCUAUCUCUUUGUUAAUGCUGGAUCGCAUCUUUCCAUUAGGCCAAUCAACUAAGUUGAUAUCCAUCAAGGAAGAGUGGUUCGAUAGUAGACUCAUUAUCUCACGUCCUCAUGUACACUAGUGUAAUACUUGUAGAGAUCUCUAUAUGAAUUGGAUUUGACAUUGAGGCGUCCCCCAACGAUAAUCACAAUUCAGACUUCAUGAGACGGAUUUGAGUAUCACUGAUCAAUGGAUCAGGUUGUGCCAAGCUCGCUUUCUUUCUAGUGUGAGACAAUAUCGAACCUAAGGGCCUCCCUCCUUUUAGGGAGCCACACGGCCUUGUGACACCAAUUUUGCCACUAUAUGGCGUCACCAUAUCACCAUCCAUGGUGAUGGCGUCAAGACCAACACUUUUUGGUCGCGCCAUGUCCUUUUGUAGGACAUCAAUCCUUGCAGACAUAUUUGCAGCAUGUGAUCUCGUCACUUUAACAUUAUAAGCAUUUGGGAUCAAGAUGAGACUUAGUGGGGACAAACCACGACAAUUCACGUCGUUUCACUUGAACACUUGUGUUCUUAUCUCCCCCUAACGGCGGGAAUAUUGUCUCAUCAAAGUGACAAUCCGCAAUUUAGCGGUCAAUGAGAUCGCCUGACAAGGUUCCUACAUAUGUGGAUUAUAGGUGAAGGUUCAUAUCCAACCUAAACUUAUUCAUCUCAAAAUGACCCAUCAUUGUACGCAAUGGCAAUGCGAUUUGGCACCUAGAAAUAACAUCUAGCGGAGCUCAAGGAUUGGAGAUCCGUUUCAAUCCUGCUGAGCUCAAGGAUUGCAAUUUCGUGUCAAUCCUGGUACACAGUCACGAGCUGUAGUACAACAAAAUUCAAUGAUGGUGGGUCGUAAAUGAAUAGUAAAGCUGCAUGCAAAUAUUGCAUAGCCCUAAGACGCAAUAGAAAGAGUGGUGCGCAUCAAUAAUGUUCGAGCGACAAGCUAAAGUUGUUUGGUCGUAACCUCGGUGAGACCGUAUUGCGUGUGAACAUGGGGUACAUGACACUUCAACUUACAUCCCGAUGAACUUUCUUUAAAGAAUGGGUAGUGAGCCCGUAGAAGUAUAAGCAGCAUAAGCAGUAGAUAAUAGUGUAACACGUGACCAGUGUGCUAACACUUCAACCAACACCAUAAAGCAUAAAAGGUGUCCGCAAGUUGGUUGUAUCUAUCUACAUAAUUUUAUGUAAGAAUAGAAUGUUCACUUUUGUGUUAUUUAGCAUAGGAGGGUCUCACUCCUAAUUUAGCUAAAGAAUAGGCUUUCAAAACGAGCAAUGAGCAUUGCAAGGGGCCAAUGCGACAUCGAGGAAAGGCCGGUGCACCUCAAUUGCUUGAGGAAUUGACCGGACGACCUCCAGGAAGUUNNNNNNNNNNNNNNNNNNNNNNNNNNNNNNNNNNNNNNNNNNNNNNNNNNNNNNNNNNNNNNNNNNCUGAAAACUAGACUCAUAGAGCUUUCCAACGAUAUAAAGCUCACUGUGUGGUUUGUCCGGAGCUGUUCACAAAGCUCAAACGAAGUUGACUGUCUAGGAAGGACAGAUUGCUGUUUUUCGCAGAUUUGGCAUGUGCGAAGCUGUGAAGCUUGCAGGUGGCGUGUAGGCUUUUGCCUUAGCCAAAAGUGACGUGUGUAUGAUCAAAACCAAGUCCUUUCGAUCGUUCUAAGGUCGUAAACUCCAUGACUAGUUAGCAAAAGCUCCCUGACAUGAACAUAAACUAACUCAGAGGACCUAGAGGAUCCGAUUAUGAUGAUAAUUUUCCAGCUUUGAUAAGUCUUCAACGUCUUUUGCAAGACGGCAAUUGGUUUAAUAGCGUAGGGGGAUCCAAAAUCAAAAGCUUUCGGUAACUCCAAGUCAGUAUGACCAGGCAUGUCCGUGGAGGGUCGGUAGUGCGAGGCACACUUAAAACCACUAUCUCCUUAAUUUCGGACAAUUCUAAGGCAUCACACUGAGCUUGGAUGAGCCUAGUUGAACAAUUAAUGAUGAAAAAUCGGCUAUAGGGUAGAAGACUUAACCGGAAACACGUGGGCGAUCCUCCUUGAGGAUGCAGUGCCAUGAGUCACCUUCAAAGGAAGGGACCAAAAUCGGCACAAUAUGCCAUGUUUCUAAGGACGAUGUAAGUGUACAUCUUGAUUGUAAAUCAAUAUGAACCAUAAGAGGAGAAUAGUUUCACUUUGAAAAAUUCUCAAGGCAUUCAUUAUUGCUAAUGUGAGUACAUCGAGGUCUCAAAUAGACAAAGGACGUCGAUACAACGCCUUCGUACAUAUAACUUGGAACGAAAAUCAAUGUCUAGCCGAUGACAUCAAAGUCAUGGGUAGCUAGAGCAGGAUCCGAAUCUUUGAAAUUCGCGAUCAUGAGGAUGACGUUCUUGUCCUCAUAUUGAUUUUCCAUACCUUUUUGUAUGCAUUCACAAUUUAAAAGAGCUUGACAAUCUUGAACCAGUGAUCCGAAGAUCCAUAACGGUUGCAUUAAUGUCAUGAGCUGACGUGAGUAGUUUUGACAAAAUGGUGUCUAGACUAGGAGUGUCGCUAUUAGAGCCGGCAACACCUCCCCCUCUUUUCUAGACAUCGGCACGACGUUUUCUGCCGUUGCUAUGACCCAUAUUGUUGUCCCCACAUUAGGGGAUAAUCCCAAAUAAGUUUAUCACAUUAGCGUAUAUACAAUUCUUGUUUGUAUGAUCAAAAUCAAGUCUCGUUGGUAAUUCCACACCAACUUGGAGGACUUAGAGAACUUGAUGAUGAUCGAAUCCGCUAAAGAUUAUGGAUCAUGAUGCCACAAAAGAUCAUCGACAAUAUGUAGUCAAU